GGGGCUGUGUCUGAGUGGUAGAGCAUCUGCCUUUUAAGCAGAAGGUCCCAGGUUCAAUCCCUGGCAUCUCCA